GUAGGUGGCAAGCGUUGUCCGGAAUUAUUGGGCGUAAAGCGCGCGCAGGCGGUUCUUUAAGUCUGAUGUGAAAGCCCACGGCUCAACCGUGGAGGGUCAUUGGAAACUGGAGAACUUGAGUACAGAAGAGGAAAGCGGAAUUCCACGUGUAGCGGUGAAUGCGUAGAGAUGUGGAGGAACACCAGUGGCGAAGGCGGCUUUUCUGGUCUGUAACUGACGCUGAGGCGCGAAAGCGUGGGGAGCAAACAGGGAUUAGAUACCCUGGUAGUCCACGCCGUAAACGAUGAGUGCUAAGUGUUAGGGGGGUUUCCGCCCCCUUAGUGCUGCAGCUAACGCAUUAAGCACUCCGCCUGGGGAGUACGGCCGCAAGGCUG
rnacentral:rRNA from 1 species